CUGGGCGCUGUGUUUGUGCGCAUCUUUGGCCAAGAGCGCGCAGGACUACCCCGAGGACGAUGAGAUGAUCCUGGAACUGAACGGGACUUGAAACGGGAGCCGAGCCCGCUGCAGAGAGCACCUACAGGCUACUGUAUGUUCCGUGCGUCACACCCCAGGCAGCGUGGCGCAUGCCCGGUCAGCACCUGGUUAUACUGCAUCAGGGGACGCACGAGUGUCACGUCCAGAAAGCCAUCAGGGGGCUGAGAACCAGAGCAACCAGGAGAGGAUACCUGCUGGAGACCCUGUAGAACUGCUCUGGAGCUCUGUGCGGCUUCCUGGUCAACAUGAGCAGUGAAGGACAUCGAUGUCCUUCACCUGGUGAGCAGCGGGCAGAUGGAGUGUAUCGUCUAUAAUGGGCCAGGGGUAAAGGUGUGUACGCUGUGCCCCAUUGCUGCGUGAUAGGCGGUCUGCAGUGUGUGGUCCAUGCUGAUUCUGGACAAGAUGAAGAGUGUGCAGAUCCACAGCACCACCUGACUGGAAUGGCACAUUUCACAUUAAUAUAUAUCAUAUUAUAGGAUUAUAAUUAUUGAUGCAUUAUUGUGUUCAUCACUUUAAUGUUGCAGCUGGUAAAGAGGGAGCUAAUGCUAACUACCAUAUGUACUUAUAAUUUCAAUGACUGCUGGGUAGUUUGUGACUCUUAUGGUUUGGUUAUAGUCUUGUUUUGUUUUAUUCAUCUAAUUCUGAAAAGUAACUAGAAACUAAAAAG